GUGAGCAGAAGGAGGAUGAUCAGAAAGAAGCUUCUCCUCAUGGUGCUCAAACGCCAGGCGCCGCUACGAGGAGGACUGGCCGCCGGGGCCUCAAUGUCCGGAGGAAGAUCGGGACUGCUCGCCGGAGAAGAAUCUGCCGCUGGUGCUGGUGCUGGCGCUGGUGCAGGUGCAGGUGCAGGGGCAGGGGCAGAAGCUGGAACUGCAACCGAGUUGGAAGCUUGGUAGCCUGCACAUAACAGGGGAAACCACACGUAGUUGAUGCUGCUGUUCUCACUAAAUCGCGAGUAGAUUUUAUCCAAAGAUGUGCUGCUACUUAC
rnacentral:lncRNA from 1 species